rnacentral:lncRNA from 1 species
AUUAUUUCAACAUAACUUCUAAGAUAGAACAGUUAGUGUUUACCAAACACUUUAGUGUUAUAAUUUUUAAGUUACAGCUGUUCAACCUCAAUUUCAAAUGCACUCUUUAUUAUAAACGGAACUUCAGUUCUCCAUUUUACUUAUUUAACCAACUUAUCUAAAAGAACAUUAUUCAAUAAGAAGCCUCAUUUUCAAUCUAUAAUCGUUAACCCUGUGAUGAAUUUCAGAGCCUGUGGCAGCUCUCUCAAUUAUUCUUUCAUGCUGCGGGAAGUGACUUGAUUUCAUGAUAAUACACAAGUCAGUAAUAAUCGACAAUAUUCAAACAAAAAUGUAAACAAUUAUUAAGUGCAUAUUUUUAAAUAGUUUUUUUAUUUUUAUUUUUAUUAUUAUUAUUAUUAGUCAGUCAUUUGGUGCAAUUGAAAAAGUUUUGCGGUAUUGCAUGACUUAUUAUUCAUUGCACUCCCUGCCUAACAUUAUUAUGUACGUGUCCUCCAGUCUUAUUAAUUUACUAAUUAUUAUUUUUUAGAAUCUUUAGAGCUCACUAUUGAACCCUCAGCCGUUGACUAAAAGUCCGCAGUCAACUGAUCUGACGGUUGAAUUUCAGCCACGUAGCGAUUUUUUUAAUCUUUUCUUUUGUAGAUACGGUGCCUCUACUUUAUCAUGCUGUUAACGUGUAUCACCUAUAAUUAUCAUGUCACUUUACAAAAUUACCCCUCCCCUCGGGACAAACCAAAACAAUGUAGAGAAAGUAAAGUUUCUCUGUAAACCUUAUCCUUUGUGAGGGUAAUAUGGUAAAUAUGGUUUUUAGUAUUAUUAUAGUAAUAUUGCUUGAUUGCGCACUUGUUUAUACAACCCCAAAACAAUGUAGAGAAAAUAGUAUUACAAGGCUGUGAAAGUUUAAAGAAACAAUGUAGCGUUGAAAAUUUUGACACGUGGACCGUACCUCCACUUAUAGGCCAUCAAAACCUCAAGGGGUUGUUUGGAACUUGGAAAAUUGGAAUGAUAAUUGAUUGAGACUUUUUCUUUUUAUGAGAUGAAUCAUCAUAGACUAAAAUAGUAUUUUAUCAAUCUCGUCUAUUUAUUUAAGUUUUAAUUUUUUUUUCAUUCAUUAUUUCUUUUAAGGGUAGAA